UUGUAGCGUGGGCUUGUAACCCAAGUGGGGGCAAUAAUGUGGUGGAAUAUUGUGCUGAUCCUGAUGGCUGGGCUUUGGGUAGCUAAUAUCUGGCCUGCCCUAUCCAAGCAUGGAGUUGAGUCAUGUGGCCCAUACGUAAGUAUGGACCGCUUGACUCCUAGAGUGGGGCGGAUUGCGUGAGGCUGGUUUCACAGAGCAACGAACAGCUCCCAUUUCUUGCAGUGGAAGGAUUACGGACCAGUGCUCUCCAAUCCAACAAAAACCUGAUGGGCUGCUCCAAUUAAACCACCACUUUUUUUUUUGGGAUUUUUUACCAUAUAGCAAACUUUAUUACCACCUUUUAAUUUAUGUAUCAAAAUUCUAUUUAAGGUUUAAUUAUCAACUUAUUAAUUAUAGGCUUGAUUUGUGGAACUGAAAAUCUUUUCAGAUAUUAUUAAAGCUACAAAAAAAUCCAAUUUUCAGACAUAUUUAUUAAAACUACAAUUAACUACAAAUUGACUACAAUUAACUACAAACUGACUACAAGUAACUACAAACUUACUACAAUUAAAUCAAAACUGACUACAAGUAACUACAAACGGACACAAUUAACUACAAACAAUUAACUAUAAACUGAAUACAAAUAACUACAAAAUAUGUAUAAGUUCGUGUUCAUUUGGAGCGUGAAGAAAAAGGUAAAAACUUUCCUUCUAAUUUUCUUCAAUUGUGCUGGAUUUAUUUUGAUUAAUCUUUGUUGUUUCUGUUCCUAGUUUAUACUAGAAAGGCUUGUUGAAUCCUAGGGGAUAUACCUAAUUUUAUAUAUCACUGUGUGAGCGAAAUAUCUUUAAGGACAGUGUCCUUGACACGCCUCAAGCUAAACAUUUUAUUCUCCAUAAUUCUUCAAAAUUUUCCAACACAUAAUGUAGACGAAAUUCCAACAUUAGACUUAGAUCAGCAAUAGUAAGAGUGUAUAGUCGUCGAACUUUUUAGACCUUUACGUAAAAGAUUUUAGCGAGUAAUAAAUUCAUUUUACCUUUCAUCAAGUUCUCGAAAUUAAGGUAUUAAGAUGCACGAAUUGCUCAUUAUUCAAUUUUGAUUUAGUUCUCUCGAAAUAUGCUUUAAAAUGCACGGUCUGCGUAUAUUUUCCCCAACUAAAAAAAAUUUCUUAUGUCGAAAAGGAAAAGGACAGGAUUAAAGAGAAAAGUUGUAUAAUAGAGUUUGAUAAUCAUUUUUGUAGACAUUUCAAUUGUAUUUUACUGUAGCACUUUCUACGCAUGAAAGAUAUCCAAGUGUUCAACAAAUAUUAUCAAUAGAUUUGGCUUUGAUUAUUCUUCGUAAUUAACUAAUAAACUAAUCAUUUUUCACGUUGAAAGCUACACCCUAAAAUUACUCAUGUCACUAAACAAGUAUCCAUCUCCCACAUCGUUUCUUAUAGCUGACUUAUUGAUGUUUAUACUUGGAAAUGACAUAGAUUCUGUCGCCGAGCCUUGUAGCGUGGGCUUGUAACCCAAGUGGGGGCAAUAAUGUGGUGGAAUAUUGUGCUGAUCCUGAUGGCUGGGCUUUGGGUAGCUAAUAUCUGGCCUGCCCUAUCCAAGCAUGGAGUUGAGUCAUGUGGCCCAUACGUAAGUAUGGGCUGCUUGACUCCUAGAGUGGGGCGGAUUGCGUGAGGCUGGUUUCACAGAGCAACGAACAGCUCCCAUUUCUUGCAGUGGAAGGAUAACGGACCAGUGCUCUCCAAUCCAACAAAAACCUGAUGGGCUGCUCCAAUUAAACCACCACUUUUUUUUUUGGGAUUUUUUACCAUAUAGCAAACUUUAUUACCACCUUUUAAUUUAUGUAUCAAAAUUCUAUUUAAGGUUUAAUUA
rnacentral:lncRNA from 1 species